rnacentral:misc_RNA from 1 species
UCUCCGUAGGUGAACCUGCGGAGGGAUCAUUACUGAGUGAGGGUCUCCGGGCCCGACCUCCAACCCUUUGUGAACCAAACUUGUUGCUUCGGGGGCGACCCUGCCGUUUCGAUGGCGAGCGCCCCCGGAGACCUUCAAACACUGCAUCUUUGCGUCGGAGUUUAAGUAAUUUAAACAAAACUUUCAACAACGGAUCUCUUGGUUCUGGCAUCGAUGAAGAACACAGC